UCAUGGCUCAGGAUGAACGCUGGCGGCGUGCUUAAUACAUGCAAGUCGGACGGAGAUGUAGCAAUACGAUCUUAGUGGCGAACGGGUGAGUAACGCGUGGUGACCUGCCCCGAAGAGAGGGAUAACAGAUCGAAAGGUCUGCUAAUACCACAUGUGGUCUAUUUGGUUAGAGGCGAAUAGACUGAAGGAGCAAUCCGCUUCGGGAGGGGCCUGCGUCCCAUCAGCUAGUUGGUAGGGUAAAGGCCUACCAAGGCGACGACGGGUAGGGGACCUGAGAGGGUGACCCCCCACACUGGCACUGAAACACGGGCCAGACACCUACGGGUGGCAGCAGUAGGGAAUAUUGCACAAUGGGCGAAAGCCUGAUGCAAGCAACGCCGCGUGCGCGAUGAAGGCCUUCGGGUUGUAAAGCGCUUUUCUGGAGGACGAGCAAGGACGGUACUCCAGGAAUAAGGCUCGGCUAACUACGUGCCAGCCGCUGC
rnacentral:rRNA from 1 species